UCUCCGUUGGUGAACCAGCGGAGGGAUCAUUACCGAGUUUACAACUCCCAAACCCAAUGUGAACCAUACCAAACUGUUGCCUCGGCGGGGUCACGCCCCGGGUGCGUCGCAGCCCCGGAACCAGGCGCCCGCCGGAGGGACCAACCAAACUCUUUCUGUAGUCCCCUUGCGGACGUUAUUUUUGCAGCUCUGAGCAAAAAUUCAAAAUGAAUCAAAACUUUCAACAACGGAUCUCUUGGUUCUG
rnacentral:misc_RNA from 1 species